rnacentral:rRNA from 1 species
GCCUACGGGGCGCAGCAGUAGGGAAUUUUCGUCAAUGGGCGCAAGCCUGAACGAGCAAUGCCGCGUGAACGAGGAAGGUCUUCGGAUCGUAAAGUUCUGUUGAAGGGGAAAAAGAGCGGAGAGAGGAAAUGGUCUCCGAUUGAUAUUACCCUUCGAGGAAGUCACGGCUAACUACGUGCCAGCAGCCGCGGUAAUACGUAGGUGGCGAGCGUUAUCCGGAAUGAUUGGGCGUAAAGGGUGCGUAGGCGGCCUGCUAAGUCUGGAGUGAAAGGUACCGGGUCAACAGGUACAGGCUCUGGAAACUG